GUGCUGUCUUAGAUAGCUCAUAUACUAAAAUUGGAAUGCUACAAAGAAGAUUAGCAUGGCCCCUGCACAAGGAUGGCACACAUAUUCGUGAAGCAUUCCAUAUUUUU
ensembl:snRNA U6 U6 spliceosomal RNA